rnacentral:rRNA from 1 species
UACGUAGGCAGCAAGCGUUGUUCGGAAUUACUGGGCGUAAAGAGUGUGUAGGCGGUGUUUUAAGUCUGUUGUGAAAUCUCCCGGCUUAACUGGGAGGGUGCGGCGGAAACUGGAAUGCUAGAGGAUGGGAGAGGUAAGCGGAAUUCCUGGUGUAGCGGUGAAAUGCGUAGAUAUCAGGAGGAACACCUGUGGUGUAGACAGCUUACUGGACCAUUUCUGACGCUGAGACACGAAAGCGUGGGUAGCAAACAGG